rnacentral:tRNA from 1 species
GGCGGGGUGCCGGAGCGGCCGAACGGGGCGGUCUUGAAAACCGCUGGGCGUGCAAGCGUCCCCUGGGUUCAAAUCCCAGUCCCGCCGCCA